rnacentral:lncRNA from 13 species
AUUGAGUAUAAUGCAUGUUUUCAGUGGAAGGCUAAGAAUCAUUCCAGUCCUGUGCUGAAGUUCUUAUCAUCAGAUAUCCAGAGGUGAUACCUUCUUCAGGUAUCAUUUUUAGAAGAAAAAAGGAGACAAGCUAUUUUGCUUAUACCUUAGGGAUUUAAAUGGGAGAUUUACAGUAGCACAGGAUAUACUUGCUUCUUGAAAGGUUUUUUAAAUCACUAAAUCAGUCAUGGACAAACCUGGGAAUUUUACUUAAAACUAAGGCAUGUGAUGAGAAAUAUUUUAUAUAUGUAAUCCUGACAACUGCCUCUCUUAAGAGGUGCUUCUAAGUCCCUUUCCUAGUCUUCUGUAAAGACUAAAAUAGAGGACAAGCAUGUAGUAAUGAAAGAGGACACAAUUCUUUAAGCUUGUUUUAAAUGGUACAAGUACUUUCUGCAUUAGAGACUCUGGCUUGACAGGGAAGCAAGUUAGGAGAUUAUUUAGCUGCUGGUAUCUCCUACAACAAUCCCAGAUUCCCAGGGUUUAAGCUGGCUGCUGUCCUCACUUGCCCUGUAGUCUCAGUGCUGGGAGAAACCAGCACACUGCUCGAUACUGCUGCAAUUUUGUUUUUGUUCAGUGGCAAGGGCAGAAAGCCAGCGUUAGGGACCCCAAGGGAUAAACCGAUCCCAGUGGCUGUGCCAUGACCUAUAUCCCCUCCCAAACCCCUCUCAGUCCAGGAUUCUGGAUCCCCCCUCACGAUGUCACUGCUUCACUAAUGACCUCCUAUCUCCCCCUUCUCCCCAGCCUCUUGCUUUGAGUGUGAUUCCCUCGAUCUGAAAUGGUUUCCCUGGAUCUGAGUGUGUGCUCCUUUCCCCCGUGCAGAGAGCAGCACAACAGAACCCAGAUCCUGUGGACAAGGAUGCUGCUGGAUGGAUGGAAAACAGCUGAAUGGAUUGGUAGUGUGUCCCCUCCUUUAGAAAAUGUGAUAUGGAUGUGAGUACCUGUCUGUUGCCUAAACAGUGAAUAAACUCUGCCUGGAUUUCUGUCUACAGAAUGGAUGUUUUCCUUUCUGUAAGUCUCUUUUUUCUGUAAG